ACUGAGGCAUGGUCUGGGCCUGGGCGGGGUUAUAGCCCCAGCACCGGCUCACGGACGGACCGUGAUGGGUUCGAGCGGUGUUAUAGCCCCGGCACCGCCUCACGGACGGACGGACGGUGCUCGAAAAGACUGGUUGGAAAUAAACCACCAUAAACUGGUGUCAACAGAGCAGACCUUACAGGAAAGAGGGGUGAAAAAAGCAAGUCCCCGUUUGAUCUUCAGCUGCUCAUUCAGCUUUGAAGUGCUGCAAACACAGCCUUGGAACUCGUCUGUCUUUGAUAUUGCCACACAGCUGAAGAGUUCUGUGCUGUAACACCACUCAGGCCAUGAAGAUGCCAGGGAAGUGCUUGGAGUGACACAUCUGCUUGAAACACCCAAGUUUUUAGGGUGCUUUUACACCUGAAGGAUCUGUCAUGCUCUUAUUUAUAAUGUAGUCUGAUACACAAAGCUUUGUCAAUGUUAUUUUCUUCAUCAUUCUGUGAAGCCUCUUUGGUUUUUUGGUUUGUUUUUUUUUUUAACCUCUGCAGUUUGCUCUGUUUGCAGUUAUACUGAAAUAUCCACCUGAAAGAACUGCCUGUAAUCCCACGGGUCUGGGGAAGAGGAUGGCAAAGGGAAAAACCUCCUUCUUGUGCCUUGCAGCACCUGGGAAAUAAUCAACAUGCAAUUAUUUACUCCUGUGCUCACAGAUUGGACACCUCACCCAAGGAGAUGAAGGGGAAGGAGUUUCCUUGCUCCAUUCCCAGGGAGAUGGAAGCCUCUUGCCUCAGGUUUGUGUUUGCCCAAAGCAGCCAGUGCAGUGAUGGCUCCAAGUUUACAAUUCCAGCCCUGGCUUGCUCAUUUUUAGCAGAGAAACUGCUUUUAAGGAGAAUCAUCAAGAUUUUCCUGGGUGGUUUCUGGGAGGGAGUAACAGGAGUCUUGCCCUGAGGUGACCCUUUGAGCUGGAAUGCUCCCGGCUCACAAGGGAGUGAAAGUACCUCACAAAAAUAUUUUGAAAGGUGGUUUUGAACCCCAAACAUGCAAGAUAAUGAGUGGAGAAUGAGCUAAAACAAAGGCAUCUGUUCUGUGUGUACUGCUGAUUAACAAGCACCAAUUUCACCCUAAGAACUGAAUUACAGCUGGAUUGAAGGCCAGGGGAAUGCCCUGGAGCAGGGAAACCUCCCAAGGUUUGGGAUCCCUUACUCACACCAGCUCCUUGGUAAGUGACUGAGAGCAACUGAAAUUAGUACUAAUGAAUAAAUCAUUAAUAAGGUGAACUUCAAACCUUGGUAAACCACUGUUAAAACUUUAUUAAAUUCCAUCAACUUUAUUGAACUCGGUCAAAUUAUUCUUUUCACUGUCUUUGGAGUGAGGUGCCACAACUGUUUUCUUUUAAAAGCAAAGAAUAAAAUAAAUCUCAGCAUGGAGACAAAGUUUAUUUCUGCAAGAUUUACUUUACAAACUCAAAAACCAGGCAUUGUUUGUGCUCUUGCCUGCACACAGUACAAAGCAUCUCCGUUUUCCAGGAAAAAAAAAAAACAACUUUGAAAAAUACAAACUUUUUAGGUUCAGAAAGUCAAGUUUUUCAGUUUUUAAUCUUCAAACCCAUGAAGCAACACACAAAGACCAAAGUGGAAGUGGUGUGUGUUUUCCUUCCCCCAUCCCAUUUCAUCUCUUAGCUGGAAAACUUUUCCCUCAAAGCAGUGGCUGGUGCAGGGGAGGCUGGGCCUGUCUCACAAAAAUCCCAGUGCUUUCUCUCCAGAGAGACCAAAGCCAGACACAAUUAAAUAUGGCAAAUUUUUCUUUAAAAUCCCUUGCUGUAAGUCACCUUCCAGACCCUCCAACAAGGCCUUUAUUUCAAGCCAUUGAAAGUUCUGGGUUUUCACUGAUGAUUAUUAGAAUUGAAGAGGGAAAUUGUCACUUAUCAAAAUAACCCUGAAAAAGCAGGGAUUGAGUCUUCUUGCUUUACUGUCUAGUACAGCAUAUAGGAAAUAUAAACAAGCCUCAUAAAGAAUUUACACAGUAAGAUACCUUUGGGGCUUUUUACAUUAAUUCAGUCAAUUUACAAAUAAUCACUGCAGGCAGAGAAUUAAAAUUAUCAUACAAAACACAAGUACAACCUCCAU